UACUGGGCCUGUGAUGGCUGGCGCGCGGGGCAGGGAGGCAGAAAUAACACAUAAAGAUGCCCGACGAUCCCUGACCCUGAAGAGAACGCCGGCCUAGAGUAUUACCUUCUAUGACCGCUGUAUUGACACUCGGAGAGUGGGGCAAGAUGCGGCGGGUACGGGCGGUGGAGGGACCGGAUAUCUCAGACUCAAGACUACUCGUCAGAAGGAAAGGCGAUCCACCAUUUUGAAAACAGUUUGGUCGCAACGCCACUGGGGUCCGAACAGUCGUAUGUGGUGACCAUCUCAGACGGUGGUGACUCCCAAGUGAUGAAUGAAUCGUCUAAGCAGUUUGGGUCAACGUCCUUUUGUAUGUCAUCGAGUUACAACGCCGCAGGGAUACGUACAUGACGAUUACGUCAGACGAUGGCGGUUCCAGUAGGUCAAUCUUCGAAGCAGCUGCGGGUAAACGUCUUUCGGUAUAUCGUCAAGGUCAACCUACCGGACAAGAGCGACGACGGCGAGGUGUUCCUGACAGACGUAUAUCAUGUCCAUCAGGACGACGCAUUCCCGCCACACCCAACAUAGAGACUCUUACCGCCACAAGGGAAGUAGGUCGAGACCCUUCAGGAGAAGUGGUCAUCGCUGAGAGGAGCCAGAAUAUACGUUUGUGCGGCUUGAAAAUUCUGAACAGAGGGGAGCCACACAACAUCCAGAACAGCGCCAUCGACAGAAGGAGGGCAACAUGAGGGAAGUAGAGGCCAGUAGCAGAGCCAAGACGUACAGCCGAUAGAUUGCGAUCAUACUUGUAGAUGUAUAGAAAACCUGA